rnacentral:rRNA from 1 species
CGAGUCUGCCUUGAAGAUCGGAGUGCUUGCACUCUGUGAAACAAGAUACAGGCUAGCGGCGGACGGGUGAGUAACACGUGGGUAACCUGCCCAAGAGAUCGGGAUAACACCUGGAAACAGAUGCUAAUACCGGACAACAACAGAUGAUGCCUAUCAACUGUUUAAAAGAUGGUUCUGCUAUCACUCUUGGAUGGACCUGCGGUGCAUUAGCUAGUUGGUAGGGUAACGGCCUACCAAGGCGAUGAUGCAUAGCCGAGUUGAGAGACUGAUCGGCCACAUUGGGACUGAGACACGGCCCAAACUCCUACGGGAGGCAGCAGUAGGGAAUCUUCCACAAUGGACGCAAGUCUGAUGGAGCAACGCCGCGUGAGUGAAGAAGGGUUUCGGCUCGUAAAGCUCUGUUGUUGGUGAA